rnacentral:rRNA from 1 species
AGGAAAAGAAACCAACCGGGAUUGCCUCAGUAACGGCGAGUGAAGCGGCAAAAGCUCAAAUUUGAAAUCUGCGUAAGCCGAGUUGUAAUUUGAAGAUGGCUACUUUGGUAAUGGCUCUUGUCUAUGUUCCUUGGAACAGGACGUCACAGAGGGUGAGAAUCCCGUGCGAUGAGAUGUCCAUUACCGUGUAAAGUGCUUUCGAAGAGUCGAGUUGUUUGGGAAUGCAGCUCUAAGUGGGUGGUAAAUUCCAUCUAAAGCUAAAUAUUGGCGAGAGACCGAUAGCGAACAAGUACAGUGAUGGAAAGAUGAAAAGAACUUUGAAAAGAGAGUGAAAAAGUACGUGAAAUUGUUGAAAGGGAAGGGCUUGAGAUCAGACUUGGUAUUUUGUAUGGCUUGCUUUCGGGCGGGUCCUCUGCAGUUUACUGGGCCAGCAUCGGUUUGGGUGGCAGGAUAAUAGCAUAGGAAUGUGGCUCUACUUCGGUGGAGUGUUAUAGCCUUUGUUGAUACUGCCUGCCUAGACCGAGGACUGCGUCUUUUGACUAGGAUGCUGGCAUAAUGAUCCUAAGCCGCCCGUCU